CGUGCCGGGGGAAGGGGAAUUGGGCGGUGAGUCGACUCGGGCUCCCCGCCUCGCUCUCCGGUUGCUUUCUCCAGUUUUUGCUCUCUCUCUGAGCUGAGCUGAGCUGAGCUUACACACACACACGCUUAAAGGGGGCCUCGUUCCGCUUUCCCGCUCGUGCCCCUUUUGGUCUUUUUGCACCUGCUCCCAUCUUCCCCUCGUCGCCAAAUCAGACGGGCCACCUCUCUCCACGUCACCAUCGUCUUCUUCACCCCCCCUAGCCUGCGACCUCCUCUCUCCCACACACACAUCUAAGAAAAAUAAUAUCUCGCACAUAUCUCUAUAACCAAAACCACCGCUUCUAGGGUUUCUCGCCUUCUUCCUUUCGCAACCUUCAAAUUCCAUGUCUGGGUCUUCCUCCUCCGCCGCUCAAUUGAAGCUCCUUCCAGGGUUUGAUUGAUUGUGUGAUGGUGUGAGAGUUUGGGGUCUGGUGAGAUUGGAGGUGGCCUGGUUUUGAAAUUUGUUGCUUUUGGCGGGUUUUGGUUGUGAAUUUUUUUAGGGAGAGUCUAUGGCGAUUGAGAAGAAUAACUUCAAGGUUUCGAGGUUGGAUUCGGAGGUCUCUCCUGGUAGUAGGAAGAGUGUGUCCAGUGACGAUGAUGAGCUUCAGCAGCGUAGCUCCGCUGCUGAAUCUGAUGAUGAUGAUGAGUUUGAUGAUGCUGACUCCGGGGCCGGGUCGGAUGACUUUGAUUUGUUGGAACUAGGGGAAACCGGUGUCGAGUAUUGCCAGGUUGGGAAUCAGACCUGCGGCAUUCCUUUCGAGCUGUAUGAUCUUCCGAGUCUGGAGGAUAUAUUGUCAGUGGAUGUGUGGAAUGAGUGCUUGAGUGAGGAGGAGCAGUUUGCCCUUACUAAGUAUCUGCCUGACAUGGACCAGGAGACGUUUAUGAUUACUCUCAAGGAGCUUUUUACGGGCUGUAACUUCCAUUUUGGGAGCCCCGUUACCAAGCUGUUUGAUAUGUUGAAGGGAGGUUUGUGCGAGCCAAGAGUUGCCCUUUACCGGGAGGGUUUGAAUUUCUUUCAGCACCGGCGACACUACAAUCUUUUGAGGAAGCAUCAGAACACUAUGGUUCGUAAUCUCUGUCAGAUAAGGGAUGCUUGGCUUAAUUGCAAGGGAUACAGUAUUGAGGAGAGGCUCCGGGUGUUGAAUAUAAUGAGAAUCCAGAAGAGUUUGAUGUCUGAGAAGAUGGAAGAUAUGGCCAGUGACUCAUCAGAAAGAGAUUCAGGUGAAGGUCUACGGAGUAACAAGAUCAAGGACAGGAAAGUUGCACAGCAAAUCAGUCGUCAUUCUCCAUAUGGGGUGGGCUCGAAUAUGGAUUUUGCAUCAAAAGGGCGGUCACCGUCUUUGGAAGUCGCCAAAUAUGGGAAGCAGAAUUCCAAAGGCAUGCUGAAGUUGGGUGGGUCAAAGACUCCUUUAGAAAAAGAGCCAGUGAGUUAUCCUGGACCAUACAGUUCCGCAGCUGUUCUUCCUCGGUCGAAUAAGCUUGGGGCGUAUGAUUCUGGGGCAGCUCUCAGAAUGAGGGAUCAGAUGAUAAGUAGUGAUGAUGCUGAAGAAACAACAUAUGGAAUUGAUGUUCAACGGGAUCGAUUUGCGUCUCGUGGUAGCAUGCCUGACAAGUCUGGUCUUCUGAAAGUGGGAAAGAAUCUUAUAAGAGGUAAUGAUGUAAUCGCUGACAGUUUAAUGGGUCUGCCUCUCUCUACAAAAAAUGAUGUGCAUGCUUAUGCUAGGAACCGGGAUGCAAACCUUUUGUCGGAGGCAAAGGUAUUGACAGCAAAACCUCCAAACAUGAGGGCUCCAUAUGAUUUUGGUAUGAAGACCAAGUAUCCAGGAAAUAUUCAGCAAUAUGCAGUGGGCGAUCAGAUGAAAUUCUUGAAAGGCAGACUUCCACAGGCACCUUUCAGAGGAGAUCGAUAUGAUUCAUCCGAUCAUGCUGAUCUAUUCUGGAAUAACAGGAGUGAAGGGGAGGCUUUCGCUAUGGAAUCCCCCUUUCGAGCAGAUGAUUGGAGUCUUAGGAGCAAGAAAUGGAAGACUGGGAGGGAGUCUCCUGAUUUAAAUUACAAGUCCUAUAGAGCCUCCCCGCCACAGAUGAAUGAUAGAUUUUUAUCUUCUGAAUUUAGAGCAAAACCAUUGCAAGGGAAGAUAAGAGGGAAUAAACUACAUAAUGGAGGAUCAGACAUGGUGGCGUUGAAAGGUAAUAGAAUGUUUGUUAAAAACGAAGAAACAGAAUCAGACUCAUCAGAUCAAUUUGAGGAUGAUGAGGAUAGCAACCCUUUGCUGAGGAGCAAGUUGGCUUAUCCCAGUGGCGUUAUGGAACCUUCUCCAUCUUCAUUGUUGAUGCCCAGUCUAGAUGCAAAAAGAGCCAAAUAUGCGCAGAAAGAGGUGAAGAAUAUGCAGGCCCUUGAGGGGAUCAAUUACUCCUCCAAAAAGAUGGGUGGUUUUGUUGAUCAAGGAAAUAUGCGUAGUUUAGAUAACUAUUCUUCCAAAGGAAAACAGAAGGGUAAGAUGGGAGACGGUAGUCCCUUGCAUUUGGAAGGGCGCUAUUUCCCCAGCUUGGAUAAACUUGACGACAAUGAUGAUGAUGAACUGAAGCCACUCUACAGAUUGGGCAAGAAUGCAAAACUUCAAGGGGGACCUGGUGAAAGGUUGCAUAUACCCUCACUCAAGACUUAUACUGCUAGUGGAAAGCAGAAACGAGAAGUUGUUCAUGACCAUCCUGUUUCACAGUCUCAAUACUUUGUUGAUGAGGAAGAUGAUUCCCUUCAAAUGCGUUUACUGGGAGAUGGUAGUGCACAGGGUAGAUCCAGAAACAAAGGCCAGAAUGUCGAAGGAUAUUUGAGGGAUCAUCGUGAAAGCAUUGAGGUCCCAAUACUUGGCUGCAGUUUGGUGACAAAGAAGCGGAAAGGGAAAGAGGAUGCCAUGGAUAUGAGUAGAGGAGAUGAAGAUCUACAGUCCAAUCAUUUGCAACGCAGUGCUGAGUCCCAUUCCUUGAAGAAAAAGGUAAAGAGGAAGAUGGAGACGGACACUGGUAGUUCAGAUAUGGAAAUUUCUGAGCUCCCAGUUACAGAAAUGGGAGCAACAGAUAUGGAGCUGGAAACCAAGCCCCAGAAAAAGCCAUUUAUUUUAAUUACACCCACUGUUCAUACUGGUUUCUCAUUCUCGAUUAUGCAUCUUCUUUCAGCAGUUCGCUUGGCAAUGAUUACUCCACUUUCGGAAGAUACUUUAGAUGUUGGGGAACCUAUAGAUGAGAAGAACAAAAGUCAGGAAGGUGGUGCCAAUGGCGUUAUUACUCAUGAAAAGGUGGAUGCAAAUAACGGUGAGCAUGCUGGAGAAGGGAGUACGCCUUUUGUAACAGUUCAGGAGAUUGUGAAUCGUGUUAGAUCGAAUCCAGGAGAUCCUUGCAUUCUUGAAACACAAGAACCACUUCAGGAUCUGGUGAGAGGAGUUCUGAAGAUUUUUUCAUCAAAAACAGCACCUUUAGGGGCGAAGGGUUGGAAGCCAUUAGCUGCUUAUGAAAAAGCUACAAAAAGUUGGUCAUGGACUGGCCCAGUCUCUCAUAGUUCAUCAGAUAAUGAGACCAUUGAGGAGGUAACAUCUCCUGAAGCAUGGGGUCUUCCUCACAAGAUGCUUGUCAAGUUGGUUGAUUCGUUUGCUAAUUGGCUCAAAUGUGGGCAAGAGACCCUCCAACAAAUAGGAAGUCUUCCUGCACCGCCUUUGGAGUUGAUGCAGCCCAACGUAGAUGAGAAGGAGAGGUUUAGGGACUUAAGAGCUCAAAAGAGUCUUAAUACCAUCAAUCCAAGUUCUGAAGAAGUGAAAGCUUAUUUCCGUAAGGAGGAACUUCUUAGGUAUUCAGUACCUGACAGGGCCUUCUCUUACACCGCAGCUGAUGGUAAAAAAUCUAUUGUUGCCCCAUUGAGAAGAUGCGGUGGUAAGCCAACAUCAAAAGCCCGAGAUCACUUUAUGCUGAAACGUGAUCGACCGCCGCAUGUUACGAUCCUUUGUCUUGUGAGAGACGCAGCUGCCAGAUUGCCUGGAAGUAUUGGAACCAGAGCAGAUGUAUGUACUUUGAUAAGAGAUUCUCAGUAUAUUGUUGAAGAUGUGUCUGAUACACAAGUGAAUCAAGUUGUUAGUGGAGCCCUGGACCGCUUGCAUUAUGAGCGUGAUCCUUGUGUACAGUUUGAUGGGGAAAGAAAAUUAUGGGUCUAUUUACAUAGAGAAAGAGAAGAAGAAGAUUUUGAGGACGAUGGUACUUCAUCUACAAAGAAAUGGAAGAGGCAGAAAAAGGAUGCUGCUGAUCAAGCUGACCUAGGAGGAGUGACAGUGGCUUAUCAUGGAUCUGAGGAACAAUCUGGAUAUGAUUUGUGCUCCGAUCUUAAUGCAGACCCAUCAUUUUUGGAUGAUGACAAGGGAGUGGAACUUGAAUACGAUGAUGUGAGGCAAGAUGCAGACGUUGAUGUUGAUACCAAUCAGGGGUCUGAACAAGACGAAAUGCGUCAAGACAAUCCACUGGUUUGGGAGGGUCUUGACUUGAAUCCUAUGCGUGAAAGUAAAUUGCUUUGUCAGGAAAACUCCACAAAUGAAGAUUUUGAUGAUGAAACGUUUGGCAGAGAAAGGACUGUUGGUCUCUUGAGUGCAAGCUUACUAUGAGGUCUUCUUCAGGCAUAACGAUCCUCUACAUCCAUCUCUGAUUGUUCCAGAUCAAGGAGUUUAGGAAAUGUUGUCACAUUGAAGGGAAGGAGGGAGGGAUAUGGGACGAAGAAUUAAGAUUCUUUGCUGAAUUUGGGUAUUGAUCUGAAGCACCUGGCUUUUUCUUUAGGGUUUUAAUUCAAGUCGAUAUUCAUCAAUUUUGUGUCUGGAAGAAGGAAGGGACAGAGACAGCUGAGCAGAGGAACAAGGGACGGGGAAGCUUUCAGGGAAAUCAUCAGUCCGUCCGGGCAAUCUAUUAAUAAUUCGAUUUCCUCGUAAUUGAUUCAAAAUUGAAUCUUGAAUUAUCCAACUGAGAAGAGUACUUAAAAGGUUCAGAGAGAUGACACUGUGGUUUAAACAAGUCAUGCUUGAAGAUGAUGAUGAUGAACAAGUUGGGGAAAAUUAAACAACAACAACAAGAGGUGAAGAGGAUCAGAUUAUCAAUACUGAACUUACUGAUGAGCAUGUUCAAGGUCUUGAAAACACUGCAGUCACUAAGGUGCAGCUAACGAAAGAUUAGACAAUGUGUUAGUCAAUCUUACCGGCCAGCGUGGAACGGUUCUUCCUUCUGAACCCCUCUCAAUUACAUCUGAUAAAAUCAGAUAUGCAAUUGACAUGCCACAGUGGCUAAUUAUAUGAUGAGUGGAGAAUUCUUCCUAGAGACUGUGGUGCCUGAUGUUAAUGGAAAUGGUCCAGUUGACAACUAUGGCUAUGCAGAGCAACAGUUGCGGCAGGUUGUCGAACAAGACUGCACCACUGGCUUCAGAUUGGAAUGACUUUUCACAGUCCAUUGCAUUGUCCAAUGUAGUUGAAAUGCCUGUAGCAGAGACAGCAGGAAGUUUCUUCCCUAGAACAAUGGAGUUCCUUACGUGGUACCGGAAGUCUAACUGCACCUUGCCUUCCCCCUCCAAUAAAUGCAUGAAGGUCAAAGAUAUGUCUCGCGAAGAAGUAUUGGAGAAAAUUAGGGAGGAGAAGAAACGUAUUGAAGAUUUGAGUUGGUUGAUCAAUCAGCCUCCAACAAAAUGUUCGAUGACGGUGCCCAGCGUUUAGUUCUAAAAGACGGCAAAAAACUUUACAAGCCGCAAAAGGCUACAAAAGAAGCCUAUGGUCGUGUUCUAAAUGUUGAUAACGAUAUAUGUGAGCACAACAAGUCCCGCACCCUCCGUGAUAUCUUUUACACGGUCCCAACCUUUUCCGCAAGCAAUCUAGGUCUAACAAAGCCGUUAAUUAACUCAGUUGUGAAGUAGGUUGCACUCGUACCAGCCUCAAUGUCAUUGCAGGAGAUAGAGGCUUUGUCAUAGGUCCUUUUACUUUCAAGCUAGACGGAAGAUCGGUCGAUUGUAACAGUGAAUUUGGUCCAGAUAAUAAGGUCAGGGUUGGACAAGUCGUUCUGCCUUAUAUAAGUUCUGUUAGUGAUAUGAAGAACAAUGGUGCAAGGUUCGUGUUAGUAGUGGAAAGUGUAUCUGCUUAUCAAAGAUUGACGGGGGACAACUUUCAUAAUGAUUAUAAGUGUAUAAUCAUGACCGGAAAAGGCAUGUCUGAUCUAGCACUUAGAGAAUUCGCAAAGUAUAUAAUGGACACGUUCGAGAUUCCAAUAUUUCUCCUCUCAGAUUCUGAUUCAUGGGGCAUCGAAAUUUAUGCAGUCUUUAAAUAUGGCUCAGAAAGUAUGGCAUUUGAUAGUGAAAAUUUGGCUAACCCAUUGGUACAUUGGCUGGGUGUCUGGCCAACCGACUUAACCACACUUAAAAUACCAUCCGAGAGGUUGAGUUGCGAUGACCUGAGAAAAGCAAGAAAAUUGUUGAAGGAGUUUGUAACAAGUGAUGAGAUGCUGGUGAACCAGCUGGACCACAUGAUCAUGCACAAAGAAAAGGCAGGCAUUUUAGCUCUAAAUAAUUUCGGGCCGCUCUAUGGUCUAUCUGAUUACUUGCUGUAUAAGUUGUACAAGGUGGGUGAUAUCAUGAAAAAAGGGAAAUUAUAAUUUUU